UUUUUUUCGCUCCAAUACCUGUCCGCAUGUUUUCCCCACGCCGCCAUCUCCCUACCUCCCCAAUUCUUCAACCUCCAGAUCUAUUCCAAUCUCCGCCGGCAGCAGCGCGCCCCGUGCACCCCUCAUCCCGCCAUCCCGCGCGGAAGAAGCCACACCCACAUGCCCUGCUCUCCGGCGCGAGCUCCUAUCUCCGCUGGCGACUUCCCAUUCUCCUCCGUCGGCGACUUCGCCAGUUGGAUACCGCCGGCGUCCGUCCUCGCCGUCGCCAAGCCGCGCUCCUCCUGGCGUCGUCCGCACCAUCACCAAGCAUCCACGCCAGUGUCAUCCUCCACCAGGAGCUCUGCCGCGUUUUCCGUGGCUACACCGUCCGCAAGCAGCGGUCGGCUCCAUCCAAUAUCUUCAGGCCUCCACCUCGUCAAGUAGGUAUUCCCUCGAAUUACAUCUCCUGUACAACUUUUAGCAUUAAAAAAGUAGCCUCUUUCAGUUUUCUUCUACUCUCUUCUAUGUUCCUAUUGAACAUGCCUGUCGUUGUUGACUUCUAGUGGAUCCUUUUUUACUGAAACGUGAUCUAUGUAGUGUAGUUGCGGAUUAUAAAGUCAAAGCUGGUUGCUGUAGUAGUUGAUUGGUACAAUGAGUAAUCAAUUUCCUCUAAUUGAGUCUGUAAUGCAUGGCAUGGUGUUGGUAUGUUUGUCCGGCAGAUCAAAAUUGGGAAGUGGCUUGUUAGUCUGGUAAAAGUAAAAUCAAACAUGGAAAAUGUGAUGUAAAAUCUUGUCGUUUUAACACGUAAAUGUCUUCUGAGCAGGGUGCACAUUCUCUUGUGGUGAUCUUCUAUGCUUUGUUGAAAUACCGUAGGAUCUGCAUCAGGUUACUGAAUUACUGACGCAUAAUCUAUUGCUGGUUCUGUGAGCCUUUGACGCAUAAUCUAUAUUAUUGUCUGAAUCUAAAUAAUAUAGUGCACUUCGCAACACUGUCUCACCUUAGGUUCACAUCUAACAUAGGUGGUCAACUGUAUUAGCAUGGUAUUUUACAUCAUUUAUUCCUGGUGGCAAGAAUGUACAAUCUACUAUUAAUACUAAAUCUCUCAUAUUGUCCGUUAUGAGAUUAGAUAGCAUUAUAUGGCUUUUGUACAGUUGCCUUUCAUAGUUUGAUGCAGUCUCACGAGUUAAAAAGCAAUACUUAGGAUGUGAUUGAAGAUGCAACUGUGAAAGAUUACGAACAAUUGGCCUUCGUUAACAGUGAUAGACACAAGCAGCAUAUGUCAAAAUUUGUUACACCGAAGGUUUGCAUGAUGAUUGGCACUUGCAGACAAUAUUACUGACUUAAGCUUGGUAAGAAUGUUGCCUGCAGUGCUGCCCUUGUACUAUACUUCUAACAUGAUGCCUCUCAAUAGCACUAAUAAAAUUAUGCACUUUCACUGUGAGCAUAAGUGGCCUCCAAAUCUGGCAUAAAUUUUAUGGUUUUUUGCAUGAUCAUAAGAACAUGGCUCAAGCUGUAUGUAUGCAAUUUUCUUCUACUUUUUGGUAUGUUCAUAUUGGAUCUCACAUAGUUCAGUUCUUUAUUUGAUAAUGGAAGUGAAAUGCAUGAACUUGGCAUAUGUUUCUAUGCACACGUUCCUUUCAUUAGCCUUGUUGAUUAGCAUAUGAUUUUAACAUUGUUUUGUCAAAGACUUUAUGUAGAACCAGAUGAAGGAAAAUUACAAGGCCCUACAGAGAUUGAUGAUUCAUUACCAAAAAUCCUCCUGAAUCUACUAGUCAAAUUAAAAUGAUUUGUAAGCUCAAACAUUUUUUCUACCAUGUUUAGUUGCAGCUGAACUAAGCCUCAACUGUAGAAAGCACGCAUUGAAAAGUUAGAUAGGGCCGAUCAGCUUUACUAAGCGACCAGUUCACUAACCAGGUAUAUUCAAACAAAGGAUUAGAAGAAGUGUGGUGUACUGUUUCAUACAAGUAGGGUAUUUGCUCGCCAUUGAUUUUUUUAGCACGUGAUAUCGUCAUGAACUACCAGCAGCAGCAGUAGCAAGUAACUCUAAUGCAACAAAAUGUGAUAAUUAUGGAAAUCUGCAGUAUGUAGUAAUAUGAGGGUGUCUAUUUGUCAUAGUAAUAAUCUUAGUGACGAGCAAUUGCACUAUAGAAAUCCUGGAGCUGGUAAAGAGAAGAGUUCAUAAUCAUGUCUAUGGUACAACCAGGAACAAUAUAGGAUCAAUAUGUACAUAAUAAGGGUGAUUAGUUAGUGCAUUUACUAUGCAUCAUAUCAGACCUCCUGUAAUUUAUCUUCCCUGAUUAUAGCUGAUCUCGUGUCUACAUUUGCACCUAUUCUCAGUCAAUCGCAGAAUGCUCAUGCUGAAACUAGCAAUGCAACCAAGCAAAGUAGCCUUGAACAAAGUGUGCAGCUUCACGAAGUCACUAAGCAGGUAAAAAACAAUCUAAGCCAGCCCCUCCGAACACAGACACAGAACAUUGCUAGUCCAACACAACCACGAAAUAUUGGUUAGAGGAUUCAGAAAAGGAGUGCAUUGCACGAGCCAGGAGCAACUACAGAUGAAUAAUCUUCAAAUGAACAAAUAUUAUAGAUGAUGUAUAGAUUUUAGCUUCAAAGGAGUACUUAGUUCUACUUUGUAGGGUUUUCGUAAUUAUUUGUAUCUUCUGUAUGAAUAUCUCAUUUGUGAGCUCCACACUUUCAGUGGAGGUAUUUGUUCCUAUUAAUUUAUCCACUUUAUGCUAA